CUCCCAAAGUGCUGGGAUUACCGGCAUGAGCCACCGCGCCCAUCCUGGUCUGAAAGGGUUUUCUAGAGCAGCACACGGAGCUUCAGGAAAUCUGUGGAUGCCGACGAGGUCAGGGGGAAGGAUGUAAGGUGUCCCAAGCUGGGGCCAUAUUACAGAUCAGCCAAGAAGCAGGCACUGUGACUUCAGCAAUCAGUUCUCUACAGAGGAGGUCACUUGCUUGGGAACUUCUACUAAAAGAAGCCACUCAAAAUGACCACCAUCUGGAGACUGUGUAGAGGACAGUGGCCUUGGAGGGGAGCAAAAGGCAUGGAGUCAAAGGCUGGAGGGAGCCCCUCGGCAUGGCACUGUGAGGAGGGAGAGACAGCUCACACCAGGCACAGCUCCCAGGAAAAAAACACCACUUUCACAGAAUCUAGGCAAGCAACCCAGACCACUGACCUUCACCAGAGCCAGGCACUUCCAGGAGGCACCUGUCUGAGACAAUCCUGUAGUCCUAAGACCCAAGGAGCCUGAUGCUUUCGAGGUCCUGCCUGGGAAGGCUGAGUGGCCCUGAAUAUUUUCAACUCAUGGUUGAUUGAAUCUGCAGAUGCGGAACCUGUGGAUAUGGACAGCUGACUGUAACACACACCUAUGAUAAAGUUUAAUUAUAAAUUAGACACAGUAAGAAAUUAACAACAAUAACUCAUAAUAAAAUUGAAUAAUUCUAACACACUGU
rnacentral:lncRNA from 10 species